AUGAUAGAAAUGAAUGAAGAGUUGAGAAGAAACAGACAAGAAAUUGUGACUGGAUUGAACAUGUUCUUGGAAGAAAAUGAAGAAGACGAUGUUAGUUUGGAAGAACUGGAGGAGGAAGAAUUUGAUGUUCUUGAGGAAGAAGGAACAGAAACUAUAAGUGAAGAUGGUAGUUCAAAAGAAGCACAUAAUAUCACCAGAACACCUCAGAAAGUAUCCUUGAGGAGUAUCUCAGCCAUGACAGAUGAAGAGAGGCUUAUGAUGAGAAUUAAGAAGUUUGGAAUAAUUUCAGAUGACAAAUUUAGAAAUCACCAGGAGCUUCAUGCUUUGGAUUCAGCAUGCCAGCAGGUGUCAGAAGAAAAGAAAACCUUUUGAAACUGAUUCUGCCUAGAAACACUACCCCUCAAAUCAUCUACAUGCAGCUGAAGGGAAAGUUCCCUCUAAUUUUCUUUAUCCCACUCUCUAUUGCCUCUUCUUACCCCACUUCAAGAUUCUUAACAUUCUUUCAAACUGUGAAUGCUGGAAGUUGCUGUGAUGAUCUGGGGUAUGUAGCUCCCAAAGAGAACAUGUCAUAGCUACUCUCUCUACCUUUUCAAAGUAUGAAAAAAGAACUGAAAAAACCAGGCUUCACUACUCAAAAAAAAUCAAGCAGCCCUAGCAAGUCAUGGAAGAGGAAAAAUGCCGCUGGGUCUGAUCUCAUAACUGAGUUCUGUAAGACCCUUGAGAUCUACUUUGUCAAGUUUUAAAUAGUGUAUGACGAAAGGUGAAAUGAGCAGUUGUUAUUCAGUUAUGUUUGACCCUUUGUGACCCCAUUUGGAGUUUUCUUGGCAAAGAUAUUGGAACAGUUUGCCAUUUCCUUCUCUGGCUUAUUUUAUAGAUGAGGAGCUGAGGCUAACAAGGUCAAGUGACUUACCCAGGGUCACACAGCUAGUAAGGAUCUUGAGGCUGGAUUUAAGCUCAUAAAGAUGACUCCAGGCCUGGUACUUUAACCACUGUGCCACCUAGCUGCCCUGAAAUGAACAGCACGAUGGAUCAAAGAGUACUGAUUUUGUUUUUAAAAGAAGAAAGAAGAGGUGCCAU
rnacentral:lncRNA from 1 species